GCCUUAAUUUGCUCUCAAAAUUGGUUAAGGUCGGAUGACAUAUCCUCUUUACAAUAUGAGCCAACAAUUCAAGAGAUGGAGUUCUAUGAAUCGAUUGAAUUAGAUAUUAUGAGUUCAUCCACACCUAGCACCAUAGCUCCAACUACUUUUCAAUGUUAGGAGGAAUUUAAUUUGGGUUGUAAUGUAUAUUUGGUUGAAUUUGGGUUGUAUUUGGCUAGUAAUUUAUUUUGGAACUUAUUUUGUUGAAGUUUGAUUUAA